GACGAACGCUGGCGGCGCGCUUAACACAUGCAAGUCGAACGGAAAGGCCUGCUUUCCCUUGUGGAUUGCGGGUACUCGAGUGGCGAACGGGUGAGUAACACGUGAGUGAUCUGCCCCCAACUUGGGUAUAAGCCUGGGAAACUGGGUCUAAUUCCCGAUAGGACUGCAGGGUGGUGCCUGUGGUGGAAAACGAUUUUCUAGUGGUUGGGGAUGAGCUCGCGGCCUAUCAGCUUGUUGGUGGGGUAAUGACCUACCAAGGCGGCGACGGGUAGCCGGCCUGAGAGGGUGGACGGCCACAUUGGGACUGAGAUACGGCCCAGACUCCUACGGGAGGCAGCAGUGGGGAAUAUUGCACAAUGGGCGGAAGCCUGAUGCAGCGACGCCGCGUGGGGGAUGACGGCCUUCGGGUUGUAAACUCCUUUCGACCGCGAGGAAGCCACCUGGUUGGAAGGGUGGUGACGGUAGUGGUAGAAGAAGCACCGGCUAACUACGUG
rnacentral:rRNA from 1 species